UGAGCACCAAAACAGCGCAACGCGACGGGCCGCUAGAGGGACAAAGGACGCGAGAGCUGCCAGACAGGCACACACAGCGACACGAAAUAAAGCUCCCCAAGCAAAACGCCUCAACGACCUCCAAACGAUACUCCAGCAGCAAGGACGGCGGACACGCCAUCUCUACACAGGCAAAAGAGCAAACAAACAGAACGCUGCCAAAACCACAAGGACGAGGUCAAACCAGCGCUCUCCAACCGCGCACAGACUGACCCACCGGCCACAAACGCGACGNNNNNNNNNNNNNNNNNNNNNNNNNNNNNNNNNNNNNNNNNNNNNNNNNNCACGGCAAGACUGCGGAAUGGACCAACCCUAGGCCGGCGAGCGACAGCUGCGAUACCAACAGGUUAUCAAAGACCGGGGAUGUCGCAACGGACUGCAGAUCCAGCGAGAAACCGGGACCUAUUCCGCGCCAAAGGUACUACUCGAAUCUAGUCCCAAAUCCAGCGGGGUUGGAACCAGCGGUACCCCGGAUACCAAGCAAGUGAAACCGCUCCGAAAUCACGAGAAACCAAACGCAGGUUAACACCAAGCGACGAAAAACCAACUAUCUGCGCGGUGCCUAAGGAGCGCACACACGACAAAUCCCUACCUAUUCGCUCCACAUAACUGCAUAACUGCUCCCCUGGUGCAAAGCAACUACGGCGUUCCCUCAAAGAUGGUCCCACGGCCCCUAUAACAAAUAACGCGGCCCACGGGGAAGGGUGAAAUGCUAGGAAAGCGCUCCCAGCGGGGCACACACACGGCCGAACUUGCAGCGCCUCACGGAACGACCGAGUGCUAAGCAAAGCGCCCACAUGAAGAUUGCACCCGCACUGCCACGACCUGCCAGGAAGGGGGUGGUAGAUAGGUGCUCGACCCACCCUCGCCCGGCGCAAACAGCUCCGUAUUCGACGGCAGGAACACAAGGUCAACCGCCAACUCCAUCAACUGUUGCCACCAAGGUUGGGCCGUCCAGUACGGCACGACUAGGGUGAGGCACGCUCCCUCCUCGCGCACUUUCUGCACCACAGCGAGCAAGAAGUCGGGGUCCAAGGGUGGGCAGCCAUAUGCAUUAAGCCCUGCCCAAGAUUGNNNNNNNNNNNNNNNNNNNNNNNNNNNNNNNNNNNNNNNNNNNNNNNNNNUGCGAAACAGUUAGUCUAACAGUUACGCAUUGGGCCUUACGCCCAACUAACCCAGCUUACUUACGCAAGCUCGCAUUAGUUGUUGCUCCAUAGGUAAAUGCCAAAGGAGAAGAUACCCCCUCUAGCGGAAAUAACAAACAAACUGAGCACCAAAACAGCGCAACGCGACGGGCCGCUAGAGGGACAAAGGACGCGAGAGCUGCCAGACAGGCACACACAGCGACACGAAAUAAAGCUCCCCAAGCAAAACGCCUCAACGACCUCCAAACGAUACUCCAGCAGCAAGGACGGCGGACACGCCAUCUCUACACAGGCAAAAGAGCAAACAAACAGAACGCUGCCAAAACCACAAGGACGAGGUCAAACCAGCGCUCUCCAACCGCGCACAGACUGACCCACCGGCCACAAACGCGACGGAUCCCUCAACAAACGCUGACGGACGCCAUCUGAAGGAAUGGACGAUAGACACGCGAGAAUGCCAAACAUGUGCCCGCUGAGGGUUGACUAAACGGCCAACUAGGGCUUGAACUGAACACCGGCUCUGCAAUAACGACCGCUCCACGCGCCCAGGGCGCUGACAGCAGGGAUACGGAUGACGAAACCCAGCACGACAAACAGCAAGGUCGGGCCACCUCCGAACCAACAGGUACACCGGCCAACUGUUCAAAGAAUCCACACAGCACCUGCAAUAAAGACCAACACAAAGAGAGUCUGACAGAGCCACGGAGUGCUGCAAAUGCAACCAACUACUAUAAAAACGCCGCCAGCAGGGGCUGUCUCCAGCACAGGGCGCUCUUGGUUAACCGAGCAAGACAUACACGGAGCUCACGGAGUCCACGGAGCUCAUGGCACUGAAAAUAAGGCUGAGCAGCACGGGCUUGGAUAAAGCUCUUGGCAGCUAGGAACUGACCCCACAGGAGCCCAACAUAAACGGAGUCAGAAAGAGCCCCAGCCUACCGCGACACAGAAAACGCACAAACACAGCGAUGCAAAACUGCCAGGUCUUAGCACCAACCCUGGGACAAGGUAACCUGGCAACCGGCAAAGACAUGCGGAAUGGACCAACCCUAGGCCGGCGAGCGACAGCUGCG
rnacentral:lncRNA from 1 species